rnacentral:rRNA from 1 species
CGGACGGGUGAGGAAUGCAUCGGAAUCUGCCUUUUUGUGGGGGAUAACGUAGGGAAACUUGCGCUAAUACCGCAUACGACCUACGGGUGAAAGCCGGGGACCUUCGGGCCUGGCGCAGAGAGAUGAGCCGAUGCCGGAUUAGCUAGUUGGCGGGGUAAAGGCCCACCAAGGCGACGAUCCGUAGCUGGUCUGAGAGGAUGAUCAGCCACACUGGGACUGAGACACGGCCCAG